UAAAAUUUCCAAACUGGGAUUAGAUACCCCACUAUGCUUAGCCCUAAAUCUUGGUACUUACCCUACUAAAGUACCCGCCCGAGAACUACGAGCACAAACGCUUAAAACUCUAAGGACUUGGCGGUGCCCCAAACCCACCUAGAGGAGCCUGUUCUGUAAUCGAUAACCCACGAUACACCCAACCGCCCCUUGCCAAAGCAGCCUACAUACCGCCGUCGCCAGCUCACCUUCCUUGAGAGCCCAACAGUGAGCACAACAGCUAC
rnacentral:rRNA from 1 species